GACGAACGCUGGCGGCGUGCUUAACACAUGCAAGUCGAACGGAAAGGCCCUGCUUUUGUGGGGUGCUCGAGUGGCGAACGGGUGAGUAACACGUGAGUAACCUGCCCUUGACUUUGGGAUAACUUCAGGAAACUGGGGCUAAUACCGGAUAGGAGCUCCUGCUGCAUGGUGGGGGUUGGAAAGUUUCGGCGGUUGGGGAUGGACUCGCGGCUUAUCAGCUUGUUGGUGGGGUAGUGGCUUACCAAGGCUUUGACGGGUAGCCGGCCUGAGGGGGUGACCGGCCCAUUGGGGAGGGAAAGAGGGCCCGCACCCACCCGGGAGGGAGGGGGGGGGAAUAUGUAACAAGGGGCGGAGGCAGACCGGAGGCAGCCCGGGCGCGGGAGGACGGCCUUCGGGUUGUAACCCGCUUUCCCCUGGGACGAAGGGUGAGGGGCGGAAAUGGGUAAAGAACCCCCGCCAAACUCGUG
rnacentral:rRNA from 1 species